rnacentral:tRNA from 1 species
AGGGCAGUGGCUCAGUGGUACAGCUCCCGCCUUAUACGCGGGAAGACCUGGGUUCGAUUUCCCGCUGCUUUC